AAGGGCACGAUAAAUAUUAUACGCGAUACCGGCAACUGUUUAUUUAAGCGUCGGUUAUUUGCGCAAAUGCUAUAAACAUGGCGGAGGUUGCGCUGGUUGAAAUCCACACGUUCCCAUCUAUACAGAACCGAUGUGUGUGUGCUCCGUGUGGCUAUGUCUAAUUCGGCGACCAGGCGAAUAUCUUCCACCUUGUUAUUCCUCGGUACAAAUACAAAUAUAAACCCGUGAGAGAAUAGAACCGUUUCACCUUCCUCGUUUCGCGAAUGAUAUCGCGAAUGGAGCGUGGAAUCGACCCUAUCGACCCACGUCUACACCUUUUCCCGAAACGUGUAAUCUUUUCGUUGGAAUGAAUUGGAAUGAACGGUUACAACGACUACACGAAUGUACGAAAAUAAAUAUUCGGUGAAGAAAAAUCAUGGAAAAUUUGAGAACUCCAGAAAGAGGAAAGUAUACAUAAAAUUAUAUACACUAAGGUGAAAACACAAUGGAAUGGAGGAACGUGGAGCAAAUGGAGCGGAAACUGCAAUGCCCUCGAGUCUGAAUCAACCGGUACCCUCGUUAGCCACUCUAACUCCGUAAGUCCUCGAACCUCGGCCUUCUCUAGCCACGCUAUUUGUUUGAAUUUCACUCUUCAACCAUGUACGUGUAUGCGUGCAUGCGUGUGUACAAAACACGCUUGUACACUACUCUAUUCAAUAUACUGCAGCGGUUUACGCGGUGUAUAGUUAAGGCGGUUCGCUUAAAAACCGCUACACGGUUGGAUGCUCCUUUAAGGAUGCCUCAUAACGAGUCAACUAAACUGUGGUGUUGACUAGACUCCGGUGGAAGGGAUAGAGACCGCGUACCAUCGCGCGGUAAAGGGGUGGUGUCCUUCCAAGUGUGCAAACGCAGCCAUUACGAAUAUUACGAGUUGUCCGUUACGAGAUAUAUCUAUAUACAUUGUUGUGUCGAUCUUUGGAUCUUUCUAGACUUCACCGAAACAGGCAUGAAAAUGUUAGUGUGCAAAAAUUUCGGCCGAGGCUCGAGUUUAUCGAGUUACGAGCAAUUUAAUUUUGCGCUCGAAACGCUUGUAGGUAAGCAACGUAGAUGCGGAACUGUGUGCAGGGCCGUAUUGUAGUGGGUCGAGCCCCCGUUUACCAUUUCACGAUCGUUUUAUCGUUUCGGAAUUGCGAUCUUUCUGAAACGAAGUUUUUAAAAGUUAUCGAACGUCUCGUAGGAUUUGCUCGUGUCUAUUUGCACCAUGUGAUAAGUGCGAGAAGAAUAUUGAGUGGAUGGAUAUUAAAAUGUUGUUAAAGACUUUGUAAGGUCGUCGUUAAUGUCACUUGCCGUUUAACACGCGUCUCUUGUUCCUUCUUAUUUCUUCUUUAUUUAUGAAUCUAUCGAAAAAGUUAUUUAUGGAUGGAAUAAUAUUGAUAAUCGAUAUUCCAUCGUUGGGAUUGUCAUUUAUCAUUGCGGAAUGGAAUGGUAUUUGAUGAAACAUUACGGUACCGAAUGUGUCGUGUACAAUAAGAUAAGAUUACAAAUUGAUCCUUUCGGAAAACAUUUUAUCGACGGCCAUCCCGGUUAUCGAUUUUUCCUUUUUUUUUUUUUUUUUCGAAAACCUCGUUUCCUCGUUUCGAACAAACGAAAUUUUUCCCUCCACCAAUUUUGUAAACAAAAAACGCGCUAUGUAAACACGCGAAAUUGUACGAAAAAGUUUUCAACGACGAUUAAAACGGAUUUGCAUUUUAUAUCGCAUUUAAUACGCGAAAACUGCUGCUUCGACCUCCUAUCGUGAAAACGCGCGCAGCCGCGUAAUUAAAAUUAAUUAUAGCGUUUCAUUAACACGAGCGAUAGUACAAUGCGCGAUUCCAAGCGCAUUAAUCGUAAUAA